rnacentral:rRNA from 1 species
UCCAGACUCCUACGGGAGGCAGCAGUGAGGAAUAUUGGUCAAUGGACGCAAGUCUGAACCAGCCAUGCCGCGUGCAGGAUGACGGCUCUAUGAGUUGUAAACUGCUUUUGUACGAGGGUAAACCCCGAUACGUGUAUCGGGUUGAAAGUAUCGUACGAAUAAGGAUCGGCUAACUCCGUGCCAGCAGCCGCGGUAAUACGGAGGAUGCGAGCGUUAUCCGGAUUUAUUGGGUUUAAAGGGUGCGCAGGCGGCGUGUCAAGUCAGCGGUAAAAUGUCGGGGCUCAACCCCGGCCGGCCGUUGAAACUGGCGUGCUCGAGUUGGAGAGAAGUAUGCGGAAUUCGUGGUGUAGCGGUGAAAUGCAUAGAUAUCACGAAGAACCCCGAUUGCGAAGGCAGCAUACCGGCUCCACACUGACGCUGAGGCACGAAAGCGUGGGUAUCGAACAGGAUUAGAUACCCGAGUAG